AUGUUUCAUAGUCUUCGAUUCAAAGUAGUAGUCUUAUACACAUUUUUUUUAUUGGAAUUAGAAGUGUUCUCUUCUGAUUUAGAAUCAGAGGAAACAUUUUCCACUUCUUCUAUAUCAGUAGUAAGAUCAGAUUCAUAUCUGGCUUCAUUUUCUUCUUCCAAGGUAACUUCCACAUCCUUAUCACCUAACGUAAGAUUCCUGCUAUUUAUGGUCUUUUGUGAAAUUAUAUCAUAA